rnacentral:rRNA from 1 species
UACGUAGGCAGCAAGCGUUGUUCGGAAUUACUGGGCGUAAAGAGUGUGUAGGCGGUGCUCUAAGUUCGGUGUGAAAUCCCCCGGCUCAACUGGGAGGGUGCGCCGGAAACUGGAAUGCUUGAGCGUGGGAGAGGAAAGCGGAAUUCCUGGUGUAGCGGUGAAAUGCGUAGAUAUCAGGAGGAACACCUGCGGUGUAGACGGCUUUCUGGACCAUUGCUGACGCUGAGACACGAAAGCGUGGGUAGCAAACAGG